UCUGUGAGGCAGACAGGUGUGUUAU
rnacentral:piRNA from 1 species